rnacentral:lncRNA from 1 species
CUCAUUCUCUACUGAUGACCUCUGAAAUCAAAAUCCAGCUCUUCACUCGUGUUCCUCUUUCCCUGGUGGCACCUUCUGCAGCUGUUGUGAUGUGAGAAGCACGGCUGAGCUUUCAGCAAACCAUGGAGCUUCAGCAAGUUGAGUGUAGCAGUCUGGAGGGAUCAGAGGACGAAUCCUGGUCCUGUCCUGCUCAAGGAGAACUGGCCAGCAGAGUGGGAAAAUGGAUCCUCCUGCAGAGAAGCCGCUGUGCAUUCUCAGCUCAGAGAGGUUUCUGCAGCAUUCUGCAGCAGAAGGCACUGGCAGAGAGCUAAAGACAGGGCUGAGUAACUGCAGUAGUGAAUGGGGGCAUUGCCUCACUGCAGCCCAGGGAAAGGAGCU